CCAGGGAUAUGCACAGACAGAGAAAAGACCAUGUGAAGACAUAGUGAGAAGGCCAUCUGCAAGUGAAGGGGAGAGGCCUCAGGAGAAACCACACCUGUAGACAUCUUGAUCGCAGACUUCUAGCUUUUAGAACUGUUGUUUCAGCCACCCUGUCUAUGGCAUUUUGUUAUGGCAGCCCUAGCAGACUUAAUGUGCUCAGCGAUAAAAAGAAGUGAAAUACUAUACACUGACAUGGAGGAAUCUAAAUAAUACUGUGUCGAAUGAAAGAAGCCUUAAACAAAACAGCAUGUAACUGUAUGAUUCCAUUUAUAUGCCAUUUUAGAAUAGGCAAAAUUAAUUUUUUAGAAAAAAUAUCGGAACAGUUGUUGCCUCUGAGGCAAGGAAUUUAGCAUCGUGAUUGACCCAGGUGGCAUGAAAGGAUUCUGGGGGUGAUGAUCCUGUUUUUUCAAUCCAGACUGGGCUUUGAAUUACAUAGUUGUAUUUAUUUGUCAAAAUUCAUUGAAUGGUAUAUUUGACAUUUGUACAUUUAUUGUAUAUUAACUUUACCUCAAAAGAAAAUAUACAUACUUUAAGAUAAAUAUUAAACAUUAGUCAGUGAUAUGCAUGCUGAAGUAUCUGGAGUGAGUGUACUGAUUUUGCAAACUACUCUGAAAUGUGUCAAAAGUAAAGUGAUUGAUGAAGAAUGCGCUUGAACAACACUAUGAAAUUUUGGACUUUGAAGACAUGGAAGGUGAGGGCUUGAAGAAAGAAAAAUCUUAUUGGAAACUAAAGGAAAGGGGCUCUUUGUUAUGCAGUGGUAGAAAGUUUAGCAAUACAGUUUUCUGAAAUUAUAUGGAAAAUGUGUCUAUUGGCAAGGGUAAUCUAGCUAAGGAGAUUUUCAAAUAGUGUUGAAGGUGACACCUGAUUUCUUCUUGGGUCUUACAGGAAGGCGUUGAAUUGAGAGAAGGAAGAUUAAAGAUGAAAUCAAGGGUGUGACUUAAAACCAUUCGUGAAGACCUCAGAAGAAACAAAGAUGGUGCCUCAGAAUACGAUUCAGUCACAUAGGAGCGCUUUAAAUAAAUUAAGGUUUCACAGGUUAAGAAGAAGAAAUGUACUCAAAGAGCUGUACUUAAGGAAUUAAAACUGAGGAGCCCCAACUGCACCUGGACCUGAUUUAGAUGACAAGAUUUUGGAUAUUGAGCUCACACUGCAAUGGGAUGAGACUUUGCAAUCCUUGGAGGGGUGAGUAUAUUCUGCACAUUGAAGGGAUAUAAGUCACUGGGGGGCCAGAGGAAGAGUGUGGUAGCCAGAUUCCAGGAUAGCUCCUCAUGAUCUCGAUCUCCCGGUACUCAUAUUCCUUUGUAAUCUCUUCCCCAUGAAUGUGGACUGGAUUUACUAACUCGCUUAAUAUGGCAGAAGUGACGAGGUGUCAACUCUGAGAAUAAACUAUAAAAAGAUUGUGGUUUCUGUCUUGGGUGCUUUUGCUGGUUCCCUCUUGGAUCACUCGGCCUGGGGAAAGGCAACUGCAACGCUGUGAGGCAACCCUGUGGAGAGGCUCAAAUAGUGAGAGAUUGAGACGUGCCGGCAUCCACACCAGUGAGCUGCAAGGUAAACUCUCCCCAGCUAAGCCUCCAACCCCAGCCCACAACUUGGCUGGUACCUGACAAGAGAAGCAGAGCCAGAGGCACUGAGUUAAGCCAUGUCUGUGAGAUAACAGAAACUGACAUAAUAAAUGUUUUUGUUUUAUUUUAAGCUGCUAACUUUUGGGCAAUUUGUCAAUGAAACAAUAGAUUAAUACACAGAACAGAACUGAGAAACCAUAAUGAAAAGGAAAAAGGUGAAUCAGAGAAUGAAUAGGACACAGCUCUGUUUUCUUUCAACAAUAGAUAAGCAUAAUCUUGGAGAUGAAGAGUGGAAGAAAUAUGAAAUGACCAAUGGUCAAAUAAAGUAGUAGCAAGAAAAUACAACAGUAGAGAAAGGAGAGCAAGAAGGGAAAGGGAGAAACACUCCUGCUGAAGAUUCCUUUAUGAUUAAAGGAGAUAAACAAAGGCCAGCAGAAGAAAAAAGAAGUCCACUGUGGUCUCUGAGCAGGAGAAGAUGGGUCAUGGAACCACUGAAAUGUUACUGACAUCAUGGAAGCAUCAAGGAAAAGUCAAAAAAUCCUUCAUAAGGGUUUAUAUUCUGGGAACCAUAAUUACAAAGUCACUAGGGCUGGCUCUGAAAUGACUGAUGCUGAAGAGGGAAGAGGGUGAUGCAAUCUCUAGGAGUAGGGAAUUCAUCAUUUAUUUUGGAAGUGAUUACUGGGGGAAAAAGAACUAUUGGCAAAUCUUUAUACUCACAUUAUUAAGCAGGCCAAGGAUGAUUAUUUAGAUGUGAAAUGGUUGCUAGAGAUGAGGUAGUUGCAUGGAUUUAAAAACUUUAAAGUUAUAAAUCUGCUGCUUAAAAUACUGAACAAACUAGAGGCAUGUAUUCAGCGACAGAAAUGUGAGGCCCAGCUAUGGCAAAGGAGGGAACAUCAUCUAUCUUGACAGAUGCUCUUGCCUGGUGAUAUUAAAGCCUAAAUGUAUAUUACAGCUGACAGCAUCAUGCCAAGUAGUUCCUGUACAAGCAUAAAGAAAAACUGAAGGAAUAGUACAGUCUUAAGCAAAGUUGAAACAAAUCUAAAAUUUAAAUAUAGCAUAACAUUUUUAAAAAAUUGAUCCAGAAAAAAUGCAGUUAUAUUUAGAAAACAUACAUCUGGUCAUAUCUGCCAAAUAAGAGCCCCAAACUGUGUUAGGUACUAUAGUGGACACAAAAGAAACCCUGGCCCCAAGGGACUUACGAACCAGCUGGAGACUCAAGUUCUAUGCGUGUAAACAAUUAGAGAAGGACUCCUGAAAGGACAGACAGUAUGCCUGACAAAAAAUAGCAAUGGCAUGUGACCAACAAAACACAUGAGAACACGGUUAAUCCAAUUUUCCUGAGCUGAAAGAGAGAGGACAGAAAGAGCAAGGAACAAACAAGAAGAAAAUCAAGGGGAAAGCAAGAAAAAAACGAAAGCCAAUGGAGUAUGAAGAAGACUACGUGCAAGUAAGUCCUGUAGGUAGACAUUGAUUAGAGGCAAAAGUCAGAGAGGGCAUGACUAUGGUAUGAUUAGUGGGAUAAGCUAGGGAAAAAUUAAACCCCACCUUGAGGAAAUAAAUUGAAGAGCUACGGAUGUGUUACCCUGUAGGUUUCCAGAAGAAUGAUUGAAACUAAAACUAGUAUAGGGCCUUUGAGCAAAAUAUUUAAUGGUUGGAGAAAAAAAACCAAGAUGAUUAUAUAUUAAACAUGUAUACCUUUCUGCAUGUCCCUUCCCAGGAAGAAAAAAUAAUGGACAAAAUAAAAAAGAUUAUAAUAUAAUUAUUAACUAUAUAAUAAUUAACACUUCAGUGAUUACUCUCUGAUAACCACUGUUUGAAGUGCUUAUCAAGCACAGUCUUAUUUAAUCAUCAUUACAACUCUGUGAGGAAGAAAUAAUUGUUAUCAUUUACCAAGAAGGUGACUGAGUCACAGGGAAAUUUAACUUGUCCACUUCGGUGGGCAAGUUAAGCAACACUACACUAAAUUGCUUCUCACAGUUAUCCUGAGCUGGGUCACAAACUUUGGGUAGAAUAACACUCUGGUGUAAUGAGUUUAAAGCACCUACAAUAAGAAUAAGACCCCAAAUUGUUGCAAUGAAAAAUAUAGUAACUUUGGAUUGGUAAUAGACAGUCCUUUAAAAGAUCACACAUAAGCCAGGCACUGCGGCUCAUGCCUGUAAUCCCAGCACUUUGGGAGGCCAAGGGAAAGAGGAUCACUUGAGCCCAGA
rnacentral:lncRNA from 1 species